rnacentral:rRNA from 1 species
GCGAAGAAGGUCUUCGGAUCGUAAAGCUCUGUUGUUAGGGAAGAACAAGUACCGUUCAAAUAGGGCGGUACCUUGACGGUACCUAACCAGAAAGCCACGGCUAACUACGUGCCAGCAGCCGCGGUAAUACGUAGGUGGCAAGCGUUAUCCGGAAUUAUUGGGCGUAAAGCGCGCGCAGGCGGUCCUUUAAGUCUGAUGUGAAAGCCCACGGCUCAACCGUGGAGGGUCAUUGGAAACUGGGGGACUUGAGUGCAGAAGAGGAGAGCGGAAUUCCACGUGUAGCGGUGAAAUGCGUAGAGAUGUGGAGGAACACCAGUGGCGAAGGCGGCUCUCUGGUCUGUAACUGACGCUGAGGCGCGAAAGCGUGGGGAGCGAACAGGAUUAGAUACCCUGGUAGUCCACGCCGUAAACGAUGAGUGCUAAGUGUUAGAGGGUUUCCGCCCUUUAGUGCUGCAGCAAACGCAUUAAGCACUCCGCCUGGGGAGUACGGUCGCAAGACUGAAACUCAAAGGAAUUGACGGGGGCCCGCACAAGCGGUGGAGCAUGUGGUUUAAUUCGAAGCAACGCGAAGAACCUUACCAGGUCUUGACAUCCCUAUGACCAUCUCUUAGAAAUUAGAGCUUUCCCUUCGGGGAACUCAGUGACAGGUGGUGCAUGGUUGUCGUCAGCUCGUGUCGUGAGAUGUUGGGUUAAGUCCCGCAACGAGCGCAACCCUUGAUCUUAGUUGCCAGCAUUCAGUUGGGCACUCUAAGGUGACUGCCGGUGACA